GGAGAGAGAGGGGGCGAGGGAGCCGCGUAUAAAGGGAGCCCCCCACGGGCGCCCACCCAAGAGAAGGGCUUCGCCUGCCUCCCUUGCAGACCCGCGUCCCAACUCCAACGAGAGAGGCUCCACUUCAUCCGGAGGAAGAACUUCCCCAGAGCCAUGUCGGCCCCCAUGGGGAUGCCCAAGCCCACCUGCCUGAUCCAGAACCAGCAGGGGAGGCUGUCCACCUGCCCGGAGGCUCUGGAGGUCCUGCAGCACAUCCG